rnacentral:rRNA from 1 species
CCUACGGGUGGCUGCAGUGAGGAAUAUUGGACAAUGGGUUAGCGCCUGAUCCAGCCAUCCCGCGUGAAGGACGACGGCCCUAUGGGUUGUAAACUUCUUUUGUACAGGGAUAAACCUACCCUCGUGAGGGUAGCUGAAGGUACUGUACGAAUAAGCACCGGCUAACUCCGUGCCAGCAGCCGCGGUAAUACGGAGGGUGCAAGCGUUAUCCGGAUUUAUUGGGUUUAAAGGGUCCGUAGGCGGAUGCGUAAGUCAGUGGUGAAAUCUCACAGCUC